CAGCACCUCAGGUGGUCAGGAUGAUUAUUGGGCCUAAAGCAUCCGUAGCCGGCGCUGUAAGUUUUCGGUUAAAUCUGUACGCUCAACGUACAGGCUGCCGGGAAUACUGCAGCGCUAGGGAGUGGGAGAGGUAGACGGUACUCGGUAGGAAGGGGUAAAAUCCUUUGAUCUAUUGAUGACCACCUGUGGCGAAGGCGGUCUACCAGAACACGUCCGACGGUGAGGGAUGAAAGCUGGGGGAGCAAACCGGAUUAGAUACCCGCGUAGUCC
rnacentral:rRNA from 1 species